GUCGAGCGAUGAGAUCCCUUCGGGGAAGGAUUAGCGGCGAACGGGUGAGGAACACGUGAGGAAUCUGCCUUCAACACUGGGAUAACUCCGGGAAACCGGGGCUAAUACCGGAUACGAAACUCGGUGGCAUCACUGAGUUUGGAAAGUUUUUCGGUUGAAGAUGACCUCGCGGCCUAUCAGCUUGUUGGUGAGGUAAUGGCUCACCAAGGCGACGACGGGUAGCCGGCCUGAGAGGGCGACCGGCCACACUGGGACUGAGACACGGCCCAGACUCCUACGGGAGGCAGCAGUGGGGAAUAUUGGGCAAUGGAGGAAACUCUGACCCAGCGACGCCGCGUGCGGGAUGAAGGCCUUCGGGUUGUAAACCGCUUUCAGCAGGGAAGAAGCGAAAGUGACGGUACCUGCAGAAGAAGCACCGGCUAACUAUGUGCCAGCAGCCGCGGUAAUACAUAGGGUGCAAGCGUUGUCCGGAAUUAUUGGGCGUAAAGAGCUCGUAGGUGGUUCGUCACGUCGGAUGUGAAAAUCUGGGGCUCAACCCCAGACCUGCAUUCGAUACGGGCGAUCUAGAGUGUGGUAGGGGAGACUGGAAUUCCUGGUGUAGCGGUGGAAUGCGCAGAUAUCAGGAGGAACACCAAUGGCGAAGGCAGGUCUCUGGGCCAUUACUGACACUGAGGAGCGAAAGCGUGGGGAGCGAACAGGAUUAGAUACCCUGGUAGUCCACGCCGUAAACGGUGGGCACUAGUUGUGGGAACCUUCCACGGUUUCUGCGACGCAGCUAACGC
rnacentral:rRNA from 1 species